GCGCCAGUAGCUCAGCUGGAUAGAGCAACGCCCUUCUAAGGCGUGGGUCGGGGGUUCGAAUCCCUCCUGGCGCGCCA
rnacentral:tRNA from 2 species